AGCGAACGCUGGCGGCAGGCCUAACACAUGCAAGUCGAACGAACUCUUCGGAGUUAGUGGCGGACGGGUGUGUAACACGUGGGAACGUGCCUUUUGGUUCGGAAUAACUCAGGGAAACUUGUGCUAAUACCGAAUGUGCCCUUCGGGGGAAAGAUUUAUCGCCAUUAGAGCGGCCCGCGUCUGAUUAGCUAGUUGGUGAGGUAACGGCUCACCAAGGCGACGAUCAGUAGCUGGUCUGAGAGGAUGACCAGCCACACUGGGACUGAGACACGGCCCAGACUCCUACGGGAGGCAGCAGUGGGGAAUAUUGCGCAAUGGGCGAAAGCCUGACGCAGCCAUGCCGCGUGAAUGAUGAAGGUCUUAGGAUUGUAAAAUUCUUUCACCGGGGACGAUAAUGACGGUACCCGGAGAAGAAGCCCCGGCUAACUUCGUG
rnacentral:rRNA from 1 species